rnacentral:rRNA from 1 species
AGCGUACACGGUGGAUGCCCUGGCAGUCAGAGGCGAUGAAGGACGUGCUAAUCUGCGAAAAGCGUCGGUAAGGUGAUAUGAACCGUUAUAACCGGCGAUGUCCGAAUGGGGAAACCCAGUGCAAUUCGUUGCACUAUCGUUAACUGAAUACAUAGGUUAACGAGGCGAACCGGGGGAACUGAAACAUCUAAGUACCCCGAGGAAAAGAAAUCAACCGAGAUUCCCCCAGUAGCGGCGAGCGAACGGGGAGCAGCCCAGAGUCUGAAUCAGCUUGUGUGUUAGUGGAACGGUCUGGAAAGUCCGACGGUACAGGGUGAUAGUCCCGUACACCAAAAUGCACAGGCUGUGAACUCGAAGAGUAGGGCGGGACACGUGGUAUCCUGUCUGAAUAUGGGGGGACCAUCCUCCAAGGCUAAAUACUCCUGACUGACCGAUAGUGAACCAGUACCGUGAGGGAAAGGCGAAAAGAACCCCGGCGAGGGGAGUGAAAAAGAACCUGAAACCGUGUACGUACAAGCAGUGGGAGCACCUUCGGGUGUGACUGCGUACCUUUUGUAUAAUGGGUCAGCGACUUAUAUUCUGUAGCAAGGUUAACCGAAUAGGGGAGCCGCAGGGAAACCGAGUCUUAACUGGGCGUUAAGUUGCAGGGUAUAGACCCGAAACCCGGUGAUCUAGCCAUGGGCAGGUUGAAGGUUGGGUAACACUAACUGGAGGACCGAACCGACUAAUGUUGAAAAAUUAGCGGAUGACUUGUGGCUGGGGGUGAAAGGCCAAUCAAACCGGGAGAUAGCUGGUUCUCCCCGAAAGCUAUUUAGGUAGCGCCUCGUGAAUUCAUCUUCGGGGGUAGAGCACUGUUUCGGCUAGGGGGUCAUCCCGACUUACCAACCCGAUGCAAACUACGAAUACCGAAGAAUGUUAUCACGGGAGACACACGGCGGGUGCUAACGUCCGUCGUGAAGAGGGAAACAACCCAGACCGCCAGCUAAGGUCCCAAAGUCAUGGUUAAGUGGGAAACGAUGUGGGAAGGCACAGACAGCCAGGAUGUUGGCUUAGAAGCAGCCAUCAUUUAAAGAAAGCGUAAUAGCUCACUGGUCGAGUCGGCCUGCGCGGAAGAUGUAACGGGGCUAAACCAUGCACCGAAGCUGCGGCAGCGACACUAUGUGUUGUUGGGUAGGGGAGCGUUCUGUAAGCCUGCGAAGGUGACCUGUGAGGGUUGCUGGAGGUAUCAGAAGUGCGAAUGCUGACAUAAGUAACGAUAAAGCGGGUGAAAAGCCCGCUCGCCGGAAGACCAAGGGUUCCUGUCCAACGUUAAUCGGGGCAGGGUGAGUCGACCCCUAAGGCGAGGCCGAAAGGCGUAGUCGAUGGGAAACAGGUUAAUAUUCCUGUACUUGGUGUUACUGCGAAGGGGGGACGGAGAAGGCUAUGUUAGCCGGGCGACGGUUGUCCCGGUUUAAGCAUGUAGGCUGGUUGUCCAGGCAAAUCCGGAUAAUCAAGGCUGAGGUGUGAUGACGAGGCACUACGGUGCUGAAGUAACAAAUGCCCUGCUUCCAGGAAAAGCCUCUAAGCAUCAGGUAACAUUAAAUCGUACCCCAAACCGACACAGGUGGUCAGGUAGAGAAUACCAAGGCGCUUGAGAGAACUCGGGUGAAGGAACUAGGCAAAAUGGUGCCGUAACUUCGGGAGAAGGCACGCUGGUGUGUAGGUGAAGCCCCUGCGGGUGGAGCUGAGACCAGUCGAAGAUACCAGCUGGCUGCAACUGUUUAUUAAAAACACAGCACUGUGCAAACACGAAAGUGGACGUAUACGGUGUGACGCCUGCCCGGUGCCGGAAGGUUAAUUGAUGGGGUUAUCCGUAAGGAGAAGCUCUUGAUCGAAGCCCCGGUAAACGGCGGCCGUAACUAUAACGGUCCUAAGGUAGCGAAAUUCCUUGUCGGGUAAGUUCCGACCUGCACGAAUGGCGUAAUGAUGGCCAGGCUGUCUCCACCCGAGACUCAGUGAAAUUGAACUCGCUGUGAAGAUGCAGUGUACCCGCGGCAAGACGGAAAGACCCCGUGAACCUUUACUAUAGCUUGACACUGAACAUUGAGCCUUGAUGUGUAGGAUAGGUGGGAGGCUUUGAAGCGUGGACGCCAGUCUGCGUGGAGCCAACCUUGAAAUACCACCCUUUAAUGUUUGAUGUUCUAACGUUGGCCCCUUACCGGGGUUGCGGACAGUGUCUGGUGGGUAGUUUGACUGGGGCGGUCUCCUCCCAAAGCGUAACGGAGGAGCACGAAGGUUAGCUAAUCCUGGUCGGACAUCAGGAGGUUAGUGCAAUGGCAUAAGCUAGCUUGACUGCGAGCGUGACGGCGCGAGCAGGUGCGAAAGCAGGUCAUAGUGAUCCGGUGGUUCUGAAUGGAAGGGCCAUCGCUCAACGGAUAAAAGGUACUCCGGGGAUAACAGGCUGAUACCGCCCAAGAGUUCAUAUCGACGGCGGUGUUUGGCACCUCGAUGUCGGCUCAUCACAUCCUGGGGCUGAAGUAGGUCCCAAGGGUAUGGCUGUUCGCCAUUUAAAGUGGUACGCGAGCUGGGUUUAGAACGUCGUGAGACAGUUCGGUCCCUAUCUGCCGUGGGCGCUGGAGAAUUGAGGGGGGCUGCUCCUAGUACGAGAGGACCGGAGUGGACGCAUCACUGGUGUUCGGGUUGUCAUGCCAAUGGCACUGCCCGGUAGCUAAAUGCGGAAGAGAUAAGUGCUGAAAGCAUCUAAGCACGAAACUUGCCCCGAGAUGAGUUCU